rnacentral:rRNA from 1 species
GUGAGGAAUUUUCCGCAAUGGGCGAAAGCCUGACGGAGCAAUGCCGCGUGAAGGAUGAAGGCCUAUGGGUUGUAAACUUCUUUUCUCAGAAAAGAAUUAUGACGGUAUCUGAGGAAUAAGCAUCGGCUAACUCUGUGCCAGCAGCCGCGGUAAGACAGAGGAUGCAAGCGUUAUCCGGAAUGAUUGGUCGUAAAGCGUCUGUAGGUUGUUUAAAAAGUAUUCUGUCAAAGAUUAGGGCUUAACCCUAGAUAGGCAGAAUAAACUUUUAAGCUAGAGUUUGGUAGAGGGAGAGGGAAUUCCCGGUGGAGCGGUGAAAUGCGUAGAUAGCGGGAGGAACACCAAAGGCGAAGGCACUCUGCUGGGCCAAUACUAACACUGAGAGACGAAAGCGAGGGGAGCAAAUGGGAUUAGAUACCCGGGUAGUCC